AGUGGAAUUCCUGAGUCAUGGAAACACCAUGCUUAAGGUUUUGAGCAAUUGUCAAACUGUUUUCCAAAGUAGUUGCUCCAUUUACCAACCCCACCAGGGGU
rnacentral:pre_miRNA from 1 species